AUUGUAAUUUUCAGCUGCUAAUGGUCAACAGUUUUCGCUGCCCGUGUCCAGUUUGCAAAAUUUGCAGCAAGUUAGAACUGUUGGCAAUAUAGGAGGACUGGGCAACAUCAUCCAGCUGCCCAAUAUACAGACUGUUCCAACCAUACAAAAUAUUCCAGGAUUAGGCAAUGUGCAAGUGAUAACGCAGCAGCAACCGCAACUGUCCGUAGGACAACAGAUUCAGCAGGACCCCAACGAUCCGACUAAAUGGCAGAUUGUCCCCCAAGUUACGGCUAACGCGGCCCCUCAAGUUGCGACCCCAAUUAGUGUGAGUACCGUAGAAACGCAGCCUGCCGCCUCCCCAACUUCAACCGAUAUGAACCAGGGCGAGCAAAAGCAGAGAGUGAGAAGAGUGGCUUGCACAUGUCCAAACUGCCAAGAAGGAGAGAGGCAUCCGGAUCGAAAAAAACAGCACAUUUGCCAUAUACCUGGAUGC